rnacentral:rRNA from 1 species
UACAGAGGGUGCAAGCGUUGUUCGGAAUUAUUGGGCGUAAAGGGCGCGUAGGCGGUACUGUAAGUCGGAUGUGAAAGCCCAGGGCUCAACCCUGGAAGUGCAUUCGAAACUGCAGAACUAGAAUCUUGGAGAGGGUGGUGGAAUUCCCGGUGUAGAGGUGAAAUUCGUAGAUAUCGGGAGGAACAUCAGUGGCGAAGGCGACCACCUGGCUGAAGAUUGACGCUGAGGCGCGAAAGCGCGGGGAUCAAACAGG